UAAGAGAUCUUCUGUAUUCUACAUACUCAUUCUUUCUCACAUUGUGUAGUAGCGGUCAAUUCUCCCUGGAUAAGCAGGAUCAAUUACAUCAGCCAGUACAGUAAUUCCCUUCUUUGCCUGUUGAUUCAGAGGCAUGAGGAACCCAAAGUGGCCAGGUAGCAAUCUUAACUUCCAGUUUAAGGAAUCAUUGUUGUGUCUCCUGGUGGAAACAGUCUUCACUUUGAAACUAAGUCCUUCAGGCCGACAGAGCAUAAAGUCUCAGAAAUAAGAUGCAAAAAUCUUGCUAGGGUAUCCCUAAAGGUGAGUGGUGCCACUGCCAUUUUCACCCAUUGAUUCCUGGACUCAUAAACCCUGGCUAUGGGAGAAACAACCCUAUACAGUGAACACUGAUUCAGAGUGUAGAUAGUACCCACUUUGAAAAUAUUUUAAGAUUGAACAUCAGAAUGUUUAAGAACUAUUCUAUGGUUACUCAACUAAUGAAUGGGAAAGAAAAUAUUUGAAGUCAAGCUCUCUGACAUAAAAAUAUCUUCCAUAAUAACUCAGUGUGGUGUAUUGAGUUUGAGAGUUUUAAAAAGGCUUUCAGCAUUGUGGCUACAUCUAGAUUUGACUCUGGUUACUUCAUGAACUACUUUUAGGUUUUAGAAAGUUUUCUAUUUACCGUCUCAGCUUCAUUCUUCACUCUUCUUUACCCAACUCUGUACGUAUAAGCUGGACACUGACUUUAUAGACUGCAUCAAACAGGCUCCUUUGCCUUCUGGUUUCUGGUUGAGUAUUGCCAGAAGGAGAUGCAAAGGUGGGAGAAAAGAUAAGUCAUGGUAUUUAUUCUCCUGCUCGGUUGUUGAUGCUCUGCAAUGUGUGCGUGGCUAUUUCUCUUGGACAGCUUCAUCAUCUGCAGAGUUAGACAAUGUCUUCUCUUUCGCUGUGGCAUUCCUUACAAUGUCACCUCUGGGAAAGCAACUUACAUUGAAAAAGUUGUGACAAUUGGCGGACACUCAUAUUACCAUGUGCCUUAACAAUAAUAAACAACUGGCUUAAAAUAAUAGUGGAAUAGUCAUUUGAAGGCUCAUUAAUUGUACAUGUGAGAAACCAUCCUUGGAGUCUUCUGAGGUUUAUACUUCUUUAAGAUGAAGUCUAAAUGUUUAACCCAUAUAGAACCUAAAAGGUGGAGAUGAGAUGACCCCUUCUUAUUAUUACCCCAAAUAAUUCACUUAAGAAAUGUAUGCUUCUGGCCCCUGAAAUAUGGAACUUGGUGAACUUGGUGGUCCUGUGCUUAAGGGAGACACGGUUCCAUUAGGGGAGCACAGUUAAUGUUUGUAUUAAAUGGAAGCUGAGGCUGGAAACUGGCCAUUUUGUACUCCUCAUUAAACCAGGAGGGAGAGAAAGACAACAUUCUACUGAAUGGGUGAUUGAUCUCAAUUACCAAGUGGAAAUUGGCUUGCUGCCUCAUAAUGAGGGCAAGGAGGGUUCUAGUGAAUUCUCUCUAAAACUUGAGAAUUCACUAGAUCACUCCUUAGUUCUCCAUUACCCAUAACCCUGAUCAAUAGAAACAAUCGAAUAAAAACAGAACCACCAAUAAGUUCUAUUCUGGGAGUUGUGUCUCUCAAAAUGAUAAAAUCCUCAGUCACAGUGCUGAUAGAUAGUAAGGGUUAUGAAGCACACUCGCGAUGGUUAAUGUGUUAUGUUUCUGGGGGAAGUAUGACUGAAUUGACAUUACUGUGUAAUGAUAUAGUCACUGAUUAGAAUUUCUGUUUCCUGUGUAAGGGACACAGAAUUGUCAUUCAGAAAAAGCAUCAAGAAUGGAUGCUGAAGGACAAAAGAGGUAUUCUGUGGUGGAUACUCUGUCCUACCAGAACCACCCUCUACACUUCCUCACC
rnacentral:lncRNA from 10 species